rnacentral:rRNA from 1 species
CAAGGUAGCCUUGACAUGGGUAUCGCGGGACCAGAGAUGGUCCUUUCAGUUCGGCUGGAUACCACACAGGUGCUGCAUGGCUGUCGUCAGCUCGUGUCGUGAGAUGUUCGGUUAAGUCCGGCAACGAGCGCAACCCACACUUUCAGUUGCCAUCACUCAGUUGGGCACUCUGGAAGAACUGCCGGUGAUAAGCCGGAGGAAGGUGUGGAUGACGUCAAGUCCUCAUGGCCCCUACGGGUUGGGCUACACACGUGCUACAAUGGUGGUGACAAUGGGUUAAUCCCAAAAAGCCAUCUCAGUUCGGAUUGUCGUCUGCAACUCGGCGGCAUGAAGUCGGAAUCGCUAGUAAUCGCGUAACAGCAUGACGCGGUGAAUACGUUCCCGGGCCUUGUACACACCGCCCGUCACACCAUGGGAAUUGGGUCUACCCGACGACGGUGCGCCAACCUCGCAAGAGGAAGCAGCCGGCCACGGUAGGCUCAGUGACUGGGGUGAAGUCGUAACAAGGUAGCC